rnacentral:rRNA from 1 species
UACGUAGGGUGCGAGCGUUGUCCGGAAUUACUGGGCGUAAAGAGUUCGUAGGCGGUUUGUCGCGUCGUUCGUGAAAACUUGGGGCUUAACUCCAAGCGUGCGGGCGAUACGGGGCAGACUUGAGUACUACAGGGGGAGACUGGAAUUCCUGGUGUAGUGGUGAAAAUGCGUAGAUAUCGGGAGGAACACCAGUGGCGAAGGCGACUACCUGGCCUGUUCUUGACGCUGAGGGCGCGAAAAGCUA